GUGGGGGGGAAGGGAUGGGGAGGGGGAGGAGGAGGGAGAGGGAGAGGGAGAGAAAGAGGAGGACCCGCUGAGGGGAGGGGGCGAGGGAGAGCGGUUGCCGGGGGAGAGGGGGAGGGGAGAGGACAGAGCCUGUAAUGGGGUCCUGGCCCGGGAGAGGAGGAGCUACGCGCAGAGGGAAGGGUUCAGGGGUGCCCCCUCCCUUCGUUCGGGGGGCCCCACAGGCACCGUUUACACCGGGGCGGGGGAGGGGGGAAACAGCACUGGGGGGAGGGGUCUCGUGGUGGCCGCGAAGAAACAAUGGGGAGAAGGCCGAGCCUGGAAACAAAGAAAAAAUCCCUACUUCACCCGGCUGAAAGCCUAAAGCCUAUAGAGACACUAAGAAGAUACCGACAUGCCCUUCAAUUCAGUGAUAGCAGUGUCCUUAGAACAAGUUCAAUUGAGUAAACAUUUCCUAAUUACUUAAGAGCAAAGCGUUGUUAGGUGCCUAGGGAAACAAAGACAAAUCAUUGCUUCCUGUCUCCAAAAAGUUCCCCAUUGAGCAAGCAGGUGAGCUACAAUAAAAGCAACAGGUCUUAUUAACAAAGGGCUGGGCAAAUCCAGAGGAGAGUGUGAUAAAUUCCACUUUGGUGAGACUUCCGUGGAAGAACUAAAAGCUGGACCUUGAAGAUCUGUCUGCUGUGUGCCAGACACAUGUCUGUGAUUCAGAGGGCAGCAUUGACUCUGGAGUGUGCAGAAGAUAAUGAAUCUGGAAAAGAAAACUGGGGCCAGACUGAAAAUUUCAGUGCCUCUCUGCCCUUAUCCCCUCCAGAUACUCUCUUCUACUACCUUGCUUAUUCCCCAAGACCCAGCUCAACCUCUACCUUCUUUAUUAAAUCUUCCUGAUUACCACCCCUCCUCUGCACUCCACUGAAUGUGAUCCCUCUAUUCUCUGAAUUCCGUGACCCCAAUAGAUUGUACACUUCAGCACAGAUACUUACAAGGUAUUCCUUCUGAUACCUACAUAGUUGUCGAGUUGAAAAUUUUGACAACUAUAAUUUUAUCAUCACAG
rnacentral:lncRNA from 1 species